rnacentral:rRNA from 1 species
GUUGAACGCUGGCGGAAUGCUUUACACAUGCAAGUCGAACGGCAGCACGGACUUCGGUCUGGUGGCGAGUGGCGAACGGGUGAGUAAUGUAUCGGAACGUGCCCAGUCGUGGGGGAUAACGUAGUGAAAAUUACGCUAAUACCGCAUACGAUCUAUGGAUGAAAGCGGGGGAUCGCAAGACCUCGCUGGAGUGGAGCGGCCGAUAUCAGAUUAGGGAGUUGGUGGGGUAAAGGCCCACCAAGCCAACGAUCUGUAGCUGGUCUGAGAGGACGACCAGCCACGCUGGAACUGAGACACGGUCCAGACUCCUACGGGAGGCAGCAGUGGGGAAUUUUGGACAAUGGGCGAAAGCCUGAUCCAGCCAUUCCGCGUGCAGGAUGAAGGCCCUCGGGUUGUAAACUGCUUUUGUACAGGACGAAAAGGUUUCUACUAAUACUAGGAGCUCAUGACGGUACUGUAAGAAUAAGCACCGGCUAACUACGUGCCAGCCGCCGCCGUAA